rnacentral:lncRNA from 1 species
GCAUAUGUACUUUGGAUGUAUCAAAGAAGUAGAAUUUUAUGAUGAAAGCUGCAUUAAUAUGGACCAUUAGUAAUUUUUCUGCUUAUGAGAUGAUGUCAACUCUUUAAUCACUUUACCAAUUGAGUAUAUAAGAAGCGACCUUGACAUCUAAACUUACAUAGGCUAGCUUAUCAAGAGUGCUUUUGCUCAUUCCAACAUAUUUGUCUAUAAGCUUGUUAAAGACAAAAAGUCUAUCCCUCCAAUUCAUAUGAAAGAAAAAGCAC